UACCUCAUAGUAUUAUUGAAUGGCAUCAUUUAAUAAUUAAAGUUCCAACGGUACAAGAUGAGCAUGCGUCCUAUUAGCUAGUUGGUGUGGUAACGGCAUACCAAGGCUACGAUAGGUAGGGGUCCUGAGAGGGAGAUCCCCCACACUGGUACUGAGACACGGACCAGACUCCUACGGGAGGCAGCAGUGAGGAAUAUUGGACAAUGGGCGCAAGCCUGAUCCAGCCAUGCCGCGUGCAGGAAGACGCAUCUAUGGUGUGUAAACUGCUUUUGUACGGGAAGAAACACUCCCUCGUGAGGGAGCUUGACGGUACCGUAAGAAUAAGGAUCGGCUAACUCCGUGCCAGCAGCCGCGGUAAUACGGAGGAUCCAAGCGUUAUCCGGAAUCAUUGGGUUUAAAGGGUCCGUAGGCGGUUUAAUAAGUCAGUGGUGAAAGCCCAUCGCUCAACGAUGGAACGGCCAUUGAUACUGUUAGACUUGAAUUACAAGGAAGUAACUAGAAUAUGUAGUGUAGCGGUGAAAUGCUUAGAUAUUACAUGGAAUACCAAUUGCGAAGGC
rnacentral:rRNA from 1 species